rnacentral:rRNA from 1 species
AUACGGAGGGUGCGAGCGUUGUUCGGAAUUAUUGGGCGUAAAGAGCAUGUAGGCGGUCUGUUAAGUCUGGUGUGAAAGCCCGGGGCUCAACCCCGGAAGUGCAUUGGAUACUGGCAGACUUGAGUAUGGGAGAGGAAAGCGGAAUUCCGAGUGUAGGAGUGAAAUCCGUAGAUAUUCGGAGGAACACCAGUGGCGAAGGCGGCUUUCUGGACCAAUUCUGACGCUGAGAUGCGAAAGCGUGGGGAGCAAACAGGAUUAGAAACCCCAGUAGUCC